ACGACUUCGCAGGUUCGAAUCCUGCUCUCCCCA
rnacentral:sRNA from 1 species